UACGUAGGGACCAAGCGUUGUUCGGAUUUACUGGGCGUAAAGGGCGCGUAGGCGGCUUGUCAAGUCACUUGUGAAAUCUCUGGGCUUAACCCAGAACGGCCAAGUGAAACUGUCAUGCUAGAGUGCAGAAGGGGCAAUCGGAAUUCUUGGUGUAGCGGUGAAAUGCGUAGAUAUCAAGAGGAACACCUGAGGUGAAGGCGGGUUGCUGGGCUGACACUGACGCUGAGGCGCGAAAGCCAGGGGAGCAAACGGG
rnacentral:rRNA from 1 species